UACGGAGGGUGCAAGCGUUAAUCGGAAUUACUGGGCGUAAAGCGUGCGUAGGCGGUUCGUUAAGUCUGCUGUGAAAGCCCCGGGCUCAACCUGGGAAUGGCAGUGGAUACUGGCGAGCUAGAGUGUGAUAGAGGAUGGUGGAAUUCCCGGUGUAGCGGUGAAAUGCGUAGAGAUCUGGAGGAACACCGAUGGCGAAGGCAGCCUUCUGGGCCAACACUGACGCUCAUGCACGAAAGCGUGGGGAGCAAACAGG
rnacentral:rRNA from 1 species